rnacentral:rRNA from 1 species
UACGUAGGCGGAAUGAUUAGUCAGUGGUGAAAGCCCUCGGCUCAACCGAGGAACUGCCAUUGAUACUGUCAUUCUUGAGUACGGUUGUAGUGGGCGGAAUGUGUCAUGUAGCGGUGAAAUGCAUAGAGAUGACACAGAACACCGAUCGCGAAGGCAGCUCACUAAGCUGAAACUGACGCUCAGGCACGAAAGCGUGGGUAGCAAACAGGAUUAGAUACCCUGGUAGUCC